rnacentral:rRNA from 1 species
CCUACGGGUGGCAGCAGUGAGGAAUAUUGGUCAAUGGACGCAGGGCGGAACCAGCAAAGUCGCGUGAGGGAUGACUGUCCUAUGGAUUGUAAACCUCUUUUGUCAGGGAGCAAAGGGCGCCCCGUGUGGCGCUUUGCGAGUCCCUGAAGAAAAAGCAUCGGCUAACUCCGUGCCAGCAGCCGCCGUAAUACGGCGGAUGCGAUCGUUAUCCGGAUUUAUUGGGUUUAAAGGGUGCGCAGGCGGAAUGUCAAGUCAGCGGUAAAAUUUCGGGGCUCAAACCCGUCGUGCCGUUGAACCUGGCGUUCUUGAGUGAGCGAGAAGUAUGCGGAAUGCGGGGUGUAGCGGUGAAAUGCAUAGAUAUAACGCAGAACUCCGAUUGCGAAGGCAGCAUACCGGCGCUCAACUGACGCUCAGGCACGAAAGCGUGGGUAUCGAACAGGAUUAGAUACCCUUGUAGUC